rnacentral:rRNA from 1 species
UACGGAGGGUGCAAGCGUUGUUCGGAAUCACUGGGCGUAAAGGGCGCGUAGGCGGCCUGGUAAGUAGGGGGUGAAAUCCUGCGGCUUAACCGCAGGGCUGCCUUCUAAACUGUCAGGCUCGAGCACGGUAGAGGCAGAUGGAAUUCCCGGUGUAGCGGUGGAAUGCGUAGAGAUCGGGAAGAACAUCAGUGGCGAAGGCGGUCUGCUGGGCCGUUGCUGACGCUGAGGCGCGACAGCGUGGGGAGCAAACAGG